GUAUGGUUUGAUUAGCCCUUAGGGGCAUUGAAAAGUCCCAUAAAGGACUUAGUUUUUUGGUCUUUCUCAUGCCCAAGUCGUUGCCCUCCCGUUGACCUGCUUUACUGCCUCCUCCCUUGAUCCUUAAAGGGUUCCGGUGGAUUAAAUAAAACCAACUUUAAUGUCAGUUCGUCGGCCGGUGAAACUCAACCCUUUCAACAGGAUAUGGAGAUAACUAUCUGGUUAUUUCAGCCUAUAUCAGAGCUUGCUUGACUGCGUGAUAAGCCACCUCUGUAGCAGGGGCCUUCACCCCAGCAAUGAAAAUUGCUGUAUGAUCAUUGCACUGCUGUAUUCUUCCCAGGUGGCAUUUUCAUGAUGUUUUAUACACUCUCUGCCCGACAUUUGCUGUUAUGUACCAGGCGAUGCCUUCUCUUUCACUGAUCCUUUGUUGAUAAGUCUAUCAAAUUUCUGAUACUCGAUAAAAUUCUACUGUUGACUGAGAAAAAAAGAAACCCAAAAUUUACUUGGCAUGAGCUGAUCUGAUUACAAUGCCAUGUUCCCAAAUUUUCUUAUCUCUUGGCUGGUGAUUUUGGACUGAUUGAGUACCUUGUCAUGACUUUGUUGAAUGUUCAUCUUUAUACUACCUUUUUUUUU